GAAAGUGAUAGAUGAUUUGAUAUUCAAUCUAGAAGCAUCAUGUGACGUCGAGGUUAAUAACUUAGUUCUCUAUCAAUUUUGUCGACAUCAUGGUCCACAUUCUGGAAUAAAAAAAAAAAACAAAACAAGCGUCCGUGAUUAAGCGAAGCUCAGUUAGGGCUUGAGAAUCUUUGUAAACAGGUAAAUACUCGCUCCUGAUGUAGAAAUCGACCUUGGUCUGUUGAAGAAUAUUUUGGAUGGGGACGUCCAGAUGUUACUCCACUAGCAUUCAGCAUCAACGUCCUCAAAAGCAAAUGAUAUUAAGGGAGUUUAGCUUGGUUAAACUGAACAGGACAAGUGGUCUUCGCUUUCACCUCUCUGUUGGGAUUUAGUCUUCGCUAUACAGUGGAUUUUUGAAAGGUCUAGUGGACAUACAUGAUUUAAGGGAGGAUCAAAUAUGAAAUCACCUACGAUAACUGUGAAUGAUGAGAUGGGAAAACUCCUCGUGACAGCGGCGGGAGUUUCUAGCGGCUUCAUCGAAAUUACGGAUCAAAGUAUCAGAAUGAAAACAGAAUAUGGACUGUAAAGUUUUGUCUCCGGGAUAAUCAAGCUCACUAGUACACGUAAAUACCUCAUAAUGGAACAAAUUUUGCAAAUCUUGCUGCAGUUAUUACGAGAGUCCACCCGACUGGCUUUUGAUGGGUAACGUGUUUAGUCCUUCGGGACUGUGGUUUUGACAAAUGAUAUGUUUGGUUUGGAAGCCCUUCAUAUACCCACGGCUUCAGUUACACGUAACUCAUCAUAUAACUCCAUACAAGCGAUCAAGAGUUUUUCAAACGGCUCGCGUGUUUUUGAGACGACUUCCGUCCCAAGACGUGCUUCACUAAAAUAUUUUUUCGAUAGGAUCGCCUCAGCAUUGAGAAUUAUUGUGAUGACAUGACCCUAUUAAGGUAACUUUAUUUCAACUCGGGUUUUUGAGGCGGAUUAGGCCACUAGCAAUUGUUACGGUAACUGAUUACCGGCAGAAAGGUAAUAAAACUCGCUAUUUC